UAUCAACAUGUCAUUCUAAUGUUAUUUCAAAUUUGAUGUAUUAAUUUGCACGUUCAACGAAGUUUUGCUCAAAUUGUAAUCUAAUUAAAUAAAACAGAAUAGUUUCUGCAUACUCACUAGGUUAACAAGAGUAAGUUUAUUAUUUGAGUGCAGCACACACAACUACAAUACAUUAUUCACUCACAGCUUGUUGAAAUUGUAUUGAAAUAAAAUGGCGGAGUUUGAUCCUAGGACCGUCACUCGAUUAAGUUCAAUGAAAUAUUGCAGUCGUGCACAAAUAGAGUGACUUCGAAGUCGUACACAGCUGAGACCUGCCAGCAGGAGGUGAUGGACCUAAUGGAGGUACUCGACCACUGCGUUGGGGACAAGGCUUUCGCGAAGCUUAAAUAAAUUAUGUUAAUAAA